rnacentral:lncRNA from 1 species
UAGAGUAUUUGAAGUGGCUAGAAAAUAAAUUUUGUGAUUUUUCGAUAUUAUUUGCCUAGUGAUCGAAGGGGCUCAAAAUCAAUAAUUUUAAUGGCCGUGGUGAGCCGUUUGCAAGUUUAACGGUGUAGAAAUAUUCAAAUCACGUGAAAUCUUGAUCGAAAAUUUUUUAUACUAUAUAAAACAAGAUCAAUAUUUUUGAUCUAAAAUUUUAAUGUCAUAUCAUCAUAUUUUGUAAGAUUUUUAUUUUCAGCAGUUGAUUUUAAGCCACUUCGAUCACUAGGCUAAUGAUAUCAAAAAAUCGCUAAAUUUAUUUUCUAGAUACUUAAAAUACUCUAAAUUAAGUCUAACGGAGCUGAUCCUCGAUACGAGGUUGGUAUGCUUCUGGAAGCACGGAGCCUUCCGUGCUUUCAAGUCGUUUUCGAUGUUGAGACUUUCAAAUCGAGGGUCGGCUUCGUUAAACUUGAUCUAGAGUAUUUGAAGUGGCUAGAAAAUAAAUUUUGUGAUUUUUCGAUAUUAUUUGCCUAGUGAUCGAAGGGGCUCAAAAUCAAUAAUUUUAAUGGCCGUGGUGAGCCGUUUGCAAGUUUAACGGUGUAGAAAUAUUUAAAUCACGUGAAAUUUUGAUCGGAAAAUUUUUUGAUACUCAGAUAAAACAAGGUCAUUAUUUUCUGAUCUAAAAAUUUUAAUAUGUCAUAUCAUCAUAUUUUGUUAGAUUUUUAUUUUCAGCGUGUUGAUGUUUAAGCACCAUUGCGAAUCACUUUAGGCUGAUGAUAUCAAAAAAUCGUAAAUUUAUUUUCUAGCCUACUAGUGAAAUGCUCACCAAUUAUAGUCUAAACGUAGCUCACAUCUCGAUUCGACGUUCCACAAACGAAACAAUUUCGAAAGACGGACGUCUCCGUGCUUCAAAAGCAUACCCACCCUCACUCAUAUUAUGUUUAGUUAAUAUAUUUAGAGCUAGGCUAAAUGAUACUAUUAAUGGUACCAAGUCGAUUGGUGCUACCAAAUUUUACAUUGGAUUAAGAGAUGUGCGGUUAAGAUGAGUGGCCCUAGGGUGAGUGGAGUGGUUCGGAUUGAAUUGUAUGAUCUAACGGACAUGAGAAAUGAUCAAAAGGGUAGAUCUAACGGCAGGAAACUGGUAGCACCAAAUGUUGAACUUCGUGCUAUUAUAGGAAGUAGCGGACUCUUUAUAUAUAUAUAAUCCCGCUAUGGAGCUUGUAAAGCCACCAAGCAGUUAGUGUUUCUAUUCAUUAGAUCAUACUAUUCAACCAAUCUACCCAUCUCAACCCUAGCGGAUACUAUAUAUCCUAACCGUAAUCUUUAAUCUAAGACUUUGAAAAUUGCAGCCACUAAUGACUUGGUAUAUUUUUCAAGCAUAGGGAUCUCAAAUUCUCUCUCUUCUCUCUCUCUCAAGCCUCUUGCACUUCUCUCUCUCUUUUCCCCCCAUAUCAUCACCGUACAUAAUAAUAUGUGCAUGUAUUUUAUAGGUAGGAUAUAGUACCGCUACUAUAUAUUAUAUAUAUAUUAUAUAUAUAUAUAUAUAUAUAUUAUUGUGCUGUGUGUGUGUGUGUGUGUGUGUGUGGUGUGUGUCGGCGUGUGUGUGUGUGUGUGUAUAUAUAUGUGCUUGUGUGUGUUACUAUAUAUAUAGUUAAUAUAUGUCGUGUUGUUGUGUGUGGGUAUAUAUUAUAUAUAUAGUGUGUGUGUGUGUACUUCAUUAUAUUAUAUGUGUGUGUGUUAUAUAUUAUAUAUUGUGUGUAGGAAUAAUAUAAUAUAAGUAUUGUAUAUAUAGAUAUAUGAUAGAGCUACUACACUAUCGAAAGUAUAGAGGAUCUGAUGCUUCCAACUUUUUGACUAUUGGAUUAAAAAUUAUACGGUUAGGAUGAUUGCGGUCCCCCCAGGGUUGAGUAGUACUCCUAGGGUUGAGUGGUCUCCACAGAGUAAUAAUAUUAAUCCAAAGGUUAGAAUGAUCAAAGGGAUUGAUCUAAGGGCCAAAAAAUCGAAAGUACUAGAUCCUCUAUGCUUCCGAUAGCAUAGUAGCUCUACUAUAUAUAUAUAUAUAUAUAUAUAUAUAAAAUUGAGCUAGAAUACUUUUAGAAGUAUUACCCCCUUGGUGCUUCUAGGUUUUUAGCCCUUAGAUCUACUCCUUGAUUACUAAUAGCCAUUGGAUCAAGCACUAUUCCACUUACCGCCACCUACCACCACCAACCACCAUCAUCUCAACCUUAUAUUUCUCAAUCCAAGGGUUAAAAACUCCAAAGCACCAACCGCUUGGUGCUUUUGAGAGUAUUCUAGCUCAACUCUCUCUCUCUCUCUCUCUCUCUCUCUCUCUCUGUGUCACGUCCCGAGACCGCUACCAAUUUGGUCCGGUCCGGGCGCGUCGAACAGACGCCGAACGGACAGGACCUCCCUUGUCCGCCCAAGGCUAACCACUGAUCAUGUAUAAGAACUUAUCCAAGAAUCAGUUCAUAAAUACAUGAUCACAAAGAGCACCACCAGUGCUAACAACCAAGAGCAGGAUACAAGUAUGAGACAUACAAGUAAAUAAAGAGAGAAAGCUCUAUCUAUUACAUUCAUUCAACUUAAUACAUUUAAUACCAUCUUUUACAUUCUUCUAAAACAUGUGUACAAGCACUCUCAAACCUCACUUUAUACAACAUCUACUCUCAAACAUAAAUAUAGGGUGGAGCUAAUGCAAAAUAGGUGGAUAGCUAAUGCAACUAGAGCGCUAAGCCCUUACCACGAUCCUCACGCUCGCCGGGGACACCCGAGCUCGAACCUGAAAAGAGUGGGGUGAGAACUAUCUUCUAUAGUUCCCAGUUGGUUCGGCCGUCGACUCCGCCGAUCUCCCCACUAGGUCCAAGUGGGUACAAAUAGAUAAACCGAUAGAUAGAUAUGGAAAGCUGUAAUAACAGAAUAGCAAGCUACGCUACCAUGCCCGAAUCAUAUAUAUGAAGAUGCAUGCACAAUGAAAUGAAUAAUCAACUAGCUCUUCAUAUGUCCAAGAAGUAAAGUGUUCAUUAAUCUCGUGGCUCAUUCAAGGAUCCGCCUACUACUCACAUAGCCGUCUCGAUACUACGAAUCCGAGACCGUCUGCGGGACCCCACAUAGGCCAUCCCUCGGGACCCCAAAUAGGCCAUCCCUAUCCCACGGGACUCCAAAUAGGCCAUCCCUCAUGACUGACUCCGGAGCGAUCUACUUGUGUGGAGCGACCACCACAAGUCGGGAACAGACAAUGAGUAUGAUCCAAUUCUCUCACCUCACGGGUGCCCUAUCCUUUAGGGUUACUACCACCAUAGUCAAUGGGUUUCAUAUACGCUACGACUCACACGUGCCACUCGUUCUUUGUUUAAUUAACAACUAGAUGCCACUCGUUCUUUCAUUUCAACUAUUGCAUCGUUCUUUCACCGUUGCACUAUAGGAUUACAAGUCUCGACCCAAUCCUCAUCAAUCCCCUAUAUCCAGCAACUAAUGCAUAUUAUAAUAUCAGCUAGGAAGGCAUAAAGAAAGGCGAUACACAAUUAUCCUACAAUGCAUGUGAACACAGGAUGCAAGAUCUCAAGUACUAAGACAUAAAAGGGAGCCCGAUUGCUUCGAGAUGGUCACCACCCACCUCUUGGUGAUGCCGCGACGGUGGAAAACUCGACGCUGCGGUCCUUGCACGUCGCUUCAACUCCUCGGGGCGAAGCGAGCCCUCAAGCACUCGUUUUGGCGAUAACUCCGCACUCGCUCGACGGAUUAACGAACCGUCUUCGCCGACGCGUUCAGGGACCUAGCAAUUAGGUUUACGACCUAUUAAAAUAGAUCAAAACCCUAGAUUUCCAAAAAUUCCGAAUCCGUGCCCUAGGUUAGCAACGGUGAGGAAAUCCGUGGUGCGAGCUUCAAAUGCGAGCCCGAACCAUCUAUUUAUCUCCUCUAAGUUCCAUUCGAACCAUUUCUAAGCAAUAAAACCCAAUCUCAAGAAAUUCACCAUGGAUGGGUUUGAGGCUUACCUCUACACAAAGCUCCAAGCUUGCUCUAGCUUGAAGGAGAGAGGGAAGAAGAUGAUCUUUUUCUUCUUCUUUGUCUUCUCCUUCCUCUUAUUCUUCUUUUCCUUCAUUUUCUUCCUCUCCUUCUUCUUCUCCUUCUUUUCUUUCUAGAGAGAGAGAGGGAAAGGGUGUGAGAGGGUUAGAGAGCAAAUGAGAGGAAGAGAGGUCCCCCACCCUUUAUUAAAGGCUAUUUUGCAAAUAGCCCCCUCAACUUUUCAUCUUCUGAAUCAGCCCUCACUGGGCAUUUUCGCAGUGAGGGACGGGUCCCAGCUCGGGGAGACCGGUCCCCGAGAGCAUUCCAUCUCGGGCAGAGGGUAUUUCGCAUUCGGGAACCGGUCCUUGCCUGAGAGACCGGUCUCCCGUCCGUGCCUGAGAGACCGGUCCCCGGGAGACCGGUCCUUGUCCGAGAGACAGGUUCUUGAAAGUUGGAUUUUCGGGACUUAGCCAAUUUUCGGCUGUUCUCGCUGGGCCAACGUUCGGGAACCGGUCUUCCCCUACCAGGGACCGGUCGCCUCAAGGAUCCCUGCAGCCCAGCCUGAUGGGACCGGUCCCUCCCUACCAGGGACCGGUCCCCAAGAGCAAUUAUGCUCCAGUGCAGAUUUCACACUCGUGCUCUCGCGGACUCUUCUUUAAUGCACUUUAAGCAUUAUAAUCCCCUUCGGACUUUCCGAAGCUUACACACUCGACAAUCAGUCGAUUCUAAGCGAAGUAUAAUCCUCGGAUUUUGAGAAUCCGAGGGUUGGUCUACCACACACACACACCCUUCUCUCUCUCUUCUCUUCUUUCUUUCUCUCUCGUCUCUCUCUCUCUCUCCUCUCUCCUUCUCUAUCUCCUUAUAUAUAUAUAUAUAUAAUAUAUUAAUAUAUUAUUUAUAUAAUAUAUAUAUAUAUAUAGUAGGUCUUGUGUGCUUUUAGGAGCACGGAGACCUCCAUGCUCCUGAGCUGUUUUCGAUGAUGGAGCUUCCGAAUCGACGAUCGGCUCCGUUAGACUUGAUCUAGUAUAUUUGAAGUAUCUAGAAAAUAAAUUUUGUGACUUUUCGAUAUCAUUUACCUAACGGUUGAAAGGGUUCAAAAUCAACCGCUAAAAAUAAAAAUCUCACAAAAAGUAAUGAUAUAGCAUUAAAAUUUUCGAUCAAACAUAUUGAUCUUGCUGUAAAUAGUAUAAAGAAUUUUCUAUCAAAAUUUCAUGUGAUUUGAAAACUUCUACACCGUUAAACUUGCAAACGGUUAUAUCAACCAUUAAAAAUUAUUGAUUUUGAACCCUUUUGAUUGCAAGGAAAAUGAUAUCGAAAAAUCACAAAAAUUAUUUUCUAGAUAGCUCAAAUACGCUAGAUCAAGUCUAACGGAGCCGAUCGUUAAUUCGGAAGCUCUAUCAUCGAAAACGGCUUAGGAGCACGGAGGCCUCCGUGCUCCUAAUAGCACACAAGACCUACUCUCUCUCUCUCUCUCUCUCUCUCUCUCUCUCUCUCUCUCUCUCUCUCUAUAUAUAUAUAUAUAUAUAUAUAUAUAUAACUAAGCUGAAAUACUAUCAAUAGCACUAAGCUAUUGGUGCUAUUAGUUUUUUAGCCAUUGGAUUGAGAAAUGUAUGGUUAGGAUGAUGUGGGCCCCCUAGAGUUGAGUGGGUGGUUGGUUAAAUAAGAUAUAAUCUAACGGGUAAAAAUAAUCAAAGAAUAUAAAUUUAAUGGUGGAAAAUUGAUAUCACUAAGUUCUUGUACUAUCGAUAGACAUAGGGGUAUUCUUAAUAGAUAUAAGUAAUUAUAUAAUAUAAUAUAUAUAUAUAUCAGCUCCUAUUGCUUUUAAAAGUACCAAGUCAUUGGUGCUUGUAAUUUUUCGGCCCUUAGAUUAAGGAGGUGUCGGUCUAGGAUGAUGUAGGCCCCCUAGGUUGAGUGUUAGGUUAGUUCGAUGAUAGUAUAAUCUUUACGGGGUGAAAAUGUAUUAAAUGCGUAUAGAUCUAACGGUAAAAAAUUCACAAACAUAGUGCUUGAUGCUUUUACAGUACCAUAGUCGGACUCUCUCUCUCUCUUCUCUCUCUCUCUUCUCUCUCUAUUAUAUAUAUAUAUAUAUAUAUUAUAUAUAUAAUUGUACUAGAAUACGCCUAGAAGCACCAACCUCUUGGCGUGCUUUUAGUUUUCUAACCUUUAUCUACCUUUUGACUACUAAUAAACUUUGGAUUAAAACAUAUCACCUACCACUACCUACCACCAUCAUCCUACCCUGCAUCACUCCUUCAAGAGCUAAAAAGUUAAAAGCACAAACCGCUUGAUAUUUUUGGAAGUAUUGUAGCUCAACUAUAUAUCUAUAUAUAUAUAUAUAUAUAUAUAUAAUAUAAUAAUAUAUAAUAUAUAUAUAUAUAUAUAUAAUUGUACUAGAAUACGCCUAGAAGCACCAACCUCUUGGUGCUUUUAGUUUUCUAACCCUUGGAUCUACCUUUUGACUACUAAUAAACUUUGGAUUAAAACACUAUAUCCACCUACCACUACCUUACCACCAUACACCUACCCUGCAUCACUCCAUUCAAGAGCUAAAAAGUUAAAAGCACAAACGCUUAUAUUUUGGAAGUAUGUAGCAUCACCUAUAUAUCUAUAUAUAAAUAUAUAAUAUAUAUAUAUAUAUAUUGUAUAUAAUAUAUAUUAUAUAGUUAUAUAUAUAGAGAGAGAGAGAAGGAGAGAGAGAGGACGGAGAGAGGGAGAAGAGAGAGGAGAUGCACAAAAGCUGACAAGUAGAAGGGGGUAGAGACAAACCAGAGGGAGAGAAAGCCAGAGAGAAGGCGAAGAUGAGAUGAGAGAGAGAGUAGGUCUUGUGUGCUAUUAGGAGCACGGAGGCCUCCGUCCUCCUAAGCCGUUUUGAUGAUGGAGCUUCCGAAUCGACGAUCGGCUCCGUUAGAUUUGAUCUAGCGUAUUUGAAGUAUCUAGAAAAUAAAUUUUGCGAUUUUUCAAUAUCAUUUACCUAACGAUCAAACGGGUUCAAAAUUAAUAAUUUUUAAUGGUUGAUGUAUACCAUUUGCAAGUUUAAUGGUGUAGAAGUAUUCAAAUUAGAUAAAAUUUUGGUAGAAAAUUUUUUAUACUAUUUACAGCAAGAUCAAUAUCUCUAAUCGAAAAUUUUAGUGCUAUAUCACCACUUUUUUUGAGAUUUUUAUUUUCAGCCGUUGAUUUUGAACCCUUUCGAUCGCUAGGUAAAUAAUAUCGAAAAAUCACAAAAUUUAUUUUCUAGAUACUUCAAAUACGCUAGAUCAAGUCUAAUGGAGUCGAUCGUCGAUUCGGAAGCUCCAUGAUCGAAAACGGUUUAGGAGCAUGGAGGCCUCCGU